rnacentral:rRNA from 1 species
CACAUAGCGAGGAAAGAAACCAACAGGGAUUGCCCUAGUAACGGCGAGUGAAGCGGCAACAGCUCAGAUUUGAAAUCUGGCUCCUUCGGGGCCCGAGUUGUAAUCUGUAGAGGAUGCUUUUGGCGACGCGCCUUCCGAGUCCCCUGGAACGGGGCGCCAGAGAGGGUGAGAGCCCCGUAUGGUUGGACGCCGAACCUCUGUAAAGCUCCUUCGACGAGUCGAGUAGUUUGGGAAUGCUGCUCAAAAUGGGAGGUAAAUUUCUUCUAAAGCUAAAUACCGGCCAGAGACCGAUAGCGCACAAGUAGAGUGAUCGAAAGAUGAAAAGCACUUUGAAAAGAGGGUUAAAUAGCACGUGAAAUUGCUGAAAGGGAAGCGCUUGUGACCAGACUUGCGCCCGGUUGAUCAUCCAGCGUUCUCGCUGGUGCACUCUGCCGGGCUCAGGCCAGCAUCGGCUCUCCCAGGGGGAUAAAGGUCGCGGGAACGUAGCUCUCUUCGGGGAGUGUUAUAGCCCGUGGCGGAAUACCCUUAGGGGGGGCCGAGGCCCGCGUUCGCAAGGAUGCUGGCGUAAUGGUCACCAGCGACCCGUCUUGAAACACGGACCAAGGAGUCAAGCAUUAGGGCGAGUCUUUGGGUGUAAAACCCGCAGGCGCAAUGAAAGUGAACGGAGGUGAGAGCUUCGGCGCAUCAUCGACCGAUCCUGAUGUUCUCGGAUGGAUUUGAGUAAGAGCCUUACCGCUUGGACCCGAAAGAUGGUGAACUAUGCCUGAAUAGGGUGAAGCCAGAGGAAACUCUGGUGGAGGCUCGCAGCGGUUCUGACGUGCAAAUCGAUCGUCAAAUUUGGGCAUGGGGGCGAAAGACUAAU